GGUGGCUCAGUGGUUAAGAGCUUGGCUGACAACCAAAAGGUCAGUGGUUCAAAUCCACCAGCCA
rnacentral:tRNA from 1 species